rnacentral:rRNA from 1 species
AAAGUCGUAACAAGGUUUCUGUAGGUGAACCUGCAGAAGGAUCAUUAGUGAAGAUUUGGGCAGGCCAUACGGACGCCAAAAAGUGUCCCUGGCCGCCUACACCCACUAUACAUCCACAAACCCGUGUGCACUGUCUUGGAGAAAGGCUUCAGAGAAGUUUUUUGUGGCCUCUCUUGGGGUCUUUCUUCGCUACAAACUCGAAUGGUUAGUAUGAACGUGGAACUUGGUUGGACCGUCACUGGCCAACAAACUAUACACAACUUUCGACAACGGAUCCCUUGGUUCUCCCAUCGAUGAAGAACGCAGCGAAACGCGAUAGGUAAUGUGAAUUGCAGAAUUCCGUGAAUCAUCGAAUCUUUGAACGCACCUUGCGCUCUAUGGCAAUCCGUAGAGCAUGCCUGUUUGAGUGCCAUGAAAUCUCCCACCCCAAGCAGUUUUUAAAUGAAACGGCUUGGCGGAUGGGGUCUGGAUGGGUGCCUCUGCCUGCGCUACCUAGCACAGGCUCGCCCGAAAUGCAUGAGCGCCUUGAGACACUUUGCAUCCGCCUCUCUGUUUGGGAGGAGGCGGCCAAGCAGUGUUUUUCCCCUGGCAUGGCAUGAUACGUCAUUUGCUAUGUCGCCUAAAGGAGGAAUGUUUGGUUGUGUCUGCGUGUGCUUCGAACUUGCCUCUGUGGCACAUCCCAAUUUCACUUCUGGUCUCAAAUCAGGUAGGAUCACCCGCUGAACUUAAGCAUAUCAAUA